CCUACGGGGGGCUGCAGUCGAGAAUCAUUCGCAAUGGGCGAAAGCCUGACGGUGCGACGUCGCGUGGAGGAUGAAGGUCUUCGGAUUGUAAACUCCUGUCAUGAGGGAUAAAUGGCCAGGGCAAUAAUACUGCCUUGGAAUGAUAGUACCUCAGGAGGAAGAGACGGCUAACUCUGUGCCAGCAGCCGCGGUAAUACAGAGGUCUCAAGCGUUGUUCGGAUUUACUGGGCGUAAAGGGAGCGUAGGCGGUUUGGUAUGUCGAAUGUGAAAGCCCACAACUCAACUGUGGAAAUGCAUUCGAAACUGCCGGACUAGAGUACUGGAGAGGAGAGCGGAAUUCUUGGUGUAGCGGUGAAAUGCGUAGAUAUCAAGAGGAACACCGGUGGCGAAGGCGGCUCUCUGGACAGAUACUGACGCUGAGGCUCUAAAGUUAGGGGAGCAAACAGGAUUAGAUACCCCUGUAGUC
rnacentral:rRNA from 1 species